GCGGAUGAUUGACCAUUAGGUGCCCUGCAG
rnacentral:piRNA from 1 species